rnacentral:rRNA from 1 species
AUUGAACGCUGGCGGCAGGCUUAACACAUUAAAGUCGAGCGAGGGGCGGACGGGUGAGUAAUGUCUGGGAAACUGCCUGAUGGAGGGGGAUAACUACUGGAAACGGUAGCUAAUCCCGCAGACCAUCAGAUCUGCCCAGAUGUGAUUAGCUAGUAGGUGGGGUAACGGCUUACCUAGGCGACGAUCCCUAGCUGGUCUGAGAGGAUGACCAGCCACACUGGAACUGAGUCACGGUCCAGAAUCCUACGGGAGGCAGCAGGGGGGAAUAUUGCACAAUGGGCGCAAGCCUGAUGCAGCCAUGCCGCGUUUGGGAAGAAGGCCUUCGGGUUGUAAAGCACUUUCAGCGGGGAGGCGUUACCCGCAGAAGAAGCACCGGCUAACUCCGUGCCAGCCGCCGCGGUAAUAC